UGUUAGGGUAAGGGUAGGGGUAAAGGUUAAGGUUAGGGUUCAUGUUAGGGUAAGGGUAGGGGAAAAGGUUAAUGUUAGGGUUCAUGUUAGGGUAAGGGUAAAGGUUAAGGUUAAGGUUAAGGUUAAGGUUAGGGUUAUGUAAUGGUUAGGGUUCAUGUUAGGGUAAGGGUGGGGUUAAAGGUUAAGUUUAGGUAACGGUUAGGGUUCAUGUUAUUGUAAGGGUCGGGUUAAAGGUUAGGGUUAGGUAACGGUUAGGGUUCAUGUUAGGGUAAGGGUUGGGUUAAAGGUUAAGGUUAGGGUUCAUGUUAGGGUAAGGGUAGGGGUAAAGGUUAAGGUUAGGGUUCAUGUUAGGGAAAGGGUAGGGGUAAAGGUUAAGGUUAGGGUUCAUGUUAGGGUAAGGGUAGCGGUAAAGGUUAAGGUUAGGGUUAGGUAAUGGUUAGGGUUCAUGUUAGGGUAAGGGUAGGGGUAAAGGUUAAGGUUAGGGUUCAUGUUAGGGUAAGGGUAUCGAUAAAGGUUGAGGUUAGGGUUAGGUAAUGGUUAGGGUUCAUGUUAGGGUAAGGGUAGGGGUAAAGGUUAUGGUUAGGGUUAGGUAACGGUUAGGGUUCAUGUUAGGGUAAGGGUAGGGGUAAAGGUUAAGGUUAGGGUUCAUGUUAGGUUAAGGGUAGGGGUAAAGGUUAAUGUUAGGGUUCAUGUUAGGGUAAGGGUAGCGGUAAAGGUUGAGGUUAGGGUUAGGUAAUGUUUAGGGUUCAU